GCUGGAGGAAGGAGGAGGGUCCUGAGGGGCUCAAGGGGCCACAGAGGGUCACGGUGGCCCUUGCCUGGGGAGGACGGGGGCCAUGACGACCCCCUCCCCGUGGAGCCAGCACCUGCUGCCUGCCAGGCUCCUGCUGCAGGCUCUCCUGGAGCCCCGACGUGGGGGCUUCUCUCAUUAACUCAUUUUAGCGGAUGCAGAAGCUGAGGCUUCUAGAAGCGAGGUGCCAGGCUGCAGGGCUCUGAACCCCGCUCUACCCCAGGGGCACUGGCAUGGGGGGGGUGGAGAGUGGGAAAGUCAGGGACGCGCCCUCAGGGCUUCCUGGAGGCAGCCGUGUCAGCUCCCUCCACCUGCUGUCCUUCCUCUUUCGAGCCCUGACUCAGCGGACCCUCGGGGGCGCCCGCGCAGCCCUGACGCGGCACUUCCGCUGUCCAGGAAACAGCUGCGGUUCACCGAAGGAGAGACCCUCCUUCAGGCCCAGGGCCACUGCCGGGCACCGACGCCCUGGGUCGUGCCUCCAGCUCCUGUCCCUCCGUCUGUCCCCGUUCCGGCUUGCUGGAGCUCAGGAGGAGCGGAGAGGGUGGCAGGAGCUAGAGGCAAACCUCUGGGGUCCCCCGGCCAGCCCUGGGGGGCAGCCGGGGAGGCGGGCACGAGCCGACAGCCUCUCUGCCCCUGGGAGACCCCUGUCCAGAGGUGGCGAGGUCCCGGAAGAAGAGUCACGACAGACGACCGGAGCCUGGCGGCCGAGGAGCAGGCGCUGCGCUGUCAGAACCCCGGCUGCAUGGACAAGGGGCGCGUGGCCGAGGUAGGAGGCCCCCCGAGGCUGGCGGGGCACCUGGGCGGGGGAGGGCGGGGCUCUGAGCCCCCUCCCCAGG
rnacentral:lncRNA from 1 species